rnacentral:rRNA from 1 species
GACGAACGCUGGCGGUGGGCUUAACACAUGCAAGUCGAACGGAAAGGCCCUGCUUUCGUGGUGUGCCCGAGUGGCGAUCGGGUGAGUAACACGAGAGUAACCUGCUCUUGACUUUGGGAUAACUUCAGGUAACUGGGGUUAAUACCGUACAGGAUCCCCUAUUGCAUGGUGGGGGUUGGAAAGUUUAGGCGGUUGGGGUUGGACUCGCGGCUUAUCAGCUUGUUGGUGGGGUAGUGGCUUGCCAAGGCAUUGACGGGUAGCCGGCCUGUGAGGGUGACCGGCCACCUUGGUACUAAGGUACGGCCCAGACUGCAACAGGGGACAGCAGUGGGGAGUAUUGCCCAAUGGGACGAAGCCUGAUACAGCAGCGCCGCGUUCGGGAUGCCGGCCUUCGGGUUGUAAACCGCUUUCGCCUAUGACGAAGCGUGAGUGACGGUAAUGGAUGAAGAAGCACCGGCUAACUACGUG